rnacentral:lncRNA from 1 species
AGCAAGAGUCCUCUGCUGGGGCUUAAUAACACACAUAAUAUGAAAUUACAGAAACAAUCUGAUCAAUGUUGAGAAAGGUAGCGUAUGUCUCUGAGCUGGCAACCUAAAUUUGUUAACAUUCGUCAAGAUGCUACGUCUGGAUAAGAUGUUGCUCUUUUUUGUUGUGAUGGCAACAACUUGAUGAGUAAGUAAAAUGUUGGUGGGACAAGGAAAACACUCAUUCUCCAAUUUCAUUAUCUGGCACACCAAAAGUAGAGUAAAGACCUAGAUUAAAAACCAGUAAACAAAUCAUAGACUUAAAACAAAUCAUAAGCAAGCAAGAGUAUUAGCAGAACGAAGCCUCUCUUUUCCUGCAUUCAAACUUAAAACUUUGGGAAGCUAAUAAAAGUUGUAAUAGUGCAAUUCUAUAUUCAAAAUUGAACUAUCCUUUCCCCUCUUCUCCUAUCAAAAUAAACAUUGGAUACAAUAACUCUUCCAUAAAAUAAAAGGUAAUCAAAAGUAGGCAAUAGAUACAUAUGAAACUCAAGUUAAUGAAAACAAACAAGAAUACGAGUAUCUAAUUCCAUCAAUCAUUUACUUCAUGACAUUUACUAUAACAAGCAUGUUCUAUUCAGAAUAUUAUGCAAAUGCACCAGUGUAAAAUUCCAGAGGAAACACAAUCUAUGAUAAACCAUAAGAAAUCCAGAAUAUUAACUAUAUAUAACAAGCAUGUUCUACUCAGAUAAACCAUGAAUAAUAUUCUGGAUUUAUCUAACACAAUUCAUAAAUAAAUAUUUUUAUUUAACAUUAUAAAUAAAUACAAGGGUCUACAGUACUAAGGGAGGACUAGGAUCUACAAGAUCAAAAUAUAUAUUUAUAUAUAUAAAGCAUCGAAAUAAAACACUUAUCAUCAAAAAAGCUAUGAAACCAGUCACAAUCAUGUUCUAAGACUUGUUUCAUAAAUCUUCUGGCGAGACUAAACUUUCAACAUAGACAUCAUGUGAAGUUGAAUCGACACAAUCCUCGUGGCUGCUGAACCCAAUAUCCUCACAACAGGAACAAUACUUGAGGUUGCGGAACACAUUAUCCCGACAAUCAUAGACCACCACAAUGGAUCCACAAUUUACCAAAAUCUCUCCAUUUAAACCUUUCAGCAAUGGUGGUUGAAGAAGCUCAAGAAGAUGAGAAAGAGUCACCACUUUCUCCCAAGACUCCUUCAUAACCCAAACUUGAUAGCAUCUAAUUUGAUAAUUAAAACAUAGCAGACAAACGAAACCACCAAGCACACCCAGGUCAAUGUCGUCCUUCUCUUGAUCAAUCUCUCCAUACAUAUCUUGAUCAAAGGGAAUCUCAAUCCUUCCAAACACCUCACUCUUCAAGUCCAAGAAAAUAAUAACUUGAUCAUCCUCGUACAUCCAGUAAAGCUUCCCACCUCCAAACAGCCCCCCCUUGUAAAAUGGAAGGAAAUAUGGGCAGAGCUCAAUUGUUUUCCAUGAUUUUGUCCUUGUACUAUAAAUUUCACCAACGCUGGAGUUAUAUUCAACCACAUUCACAAACACCUUGUACUCAUCACUCGAUUCAACCCAACCGAAUCCGAAAUUAUCAAAAUCGUCGAGAUAAUAAACAAUUGAAAUUUCUGGCAGUUUCUUGGAUAUUCUAGUGGAUGGGUUCCACAAGUGAAAUACAUUGUCAAUACUGACAAUGCAGAGAAGCCCAUUACAGCUCCCCACAAUGUCAUAUCCCAUCGACAAUGUAAUCCUUGGAUAAACUAAACGAGGCCAUAAUGUAGUAUUCGUUGGAUAAGCUAAAGGAGAAAAAGGGAUAGUAUUUAUUGGUCCGCUCAAAACCGACAGCAGAGAACAUUGCUCAGGCCAUUCAAACAAAUUCGCCUUUACAUUGAACCUUUGUUGGAUGAAAGAGGGGUUUUUCAUCGAAUUUUGGUGGUGUUUUUUUAUGAAUCUUUCGCUGGCAAUUAAAGAGCCCCAUGAUUUGGAAACGCACCUGAAUCUCAACAGUGAUUUCACCGGCAGUCUUGGCAGUAUUUCUCCAAUGAUUUCUUCCGGAAGAUGGAGAGAUUGCUGACUAUUGCUUUCGAUCUCCAUACCCA